rnacentral:tRNA from 1 species
GCCGGGGUAGUUCAGCUGGUUAGAACGUCGCACUCAUAAGGCGAAAGUCGUGAGUUCGAGUCUCACCCCCGGCA